UACGUAGGGCGCAAGCGUUGUCCGGAAUUAUUGGGCGUAAAGAGCGUGUAGGCGGUCAGGUAGGUCCGUUGUGAAAACUCGAGGCUCAACCUCGAGACGCCGAUGGAAACCAUCUGACUAGAGUCCGGAAGAGGAGAGUGGAAUUCCUGGUGUAGCGGUGAAAUGCGCAGAUAUCAGGAAGAACACCCGUGGCUAAGGCGGCUCUCUAGUACGGUACUGACGCUGAGACGCGAAAGCGUGGGGAGCGAACAGG
rnacentral:rRNA from 1 species